GGGCACCUACGGGGGCCUAUAACAUCAGGUUCCUGCACGUCAGGGACCGCCAAGCAAACGGAAGAAGCUAA
rnacentral:ncRNA from 1 species